rnacentral:rRNA from 1 species
UGUAUGUUUGAUGUUCUAACUUAGACCCGUUAUCCGGGUUGAGGACAGUGCCUGGUGGGUAGUUUGACUGGGGCGGUCUCCUCCCAAAGAGUAACGGAGGAGCACGAAGGUGGGCUAAUCACGGUUGGACAUCGUGAGGUUAGUGCAAUGGCAUAAGCCCGCUUAACUGCGAGAAUGACGGUUCGAGCAGGUGCGAAAGCAGGUCAUAGUGAUCCGGUGGUUCUGUAUGGAAGGGCCAUCGCUCAACGGAUAAAAGGUACUCCGGGGAUAACAGGCUGAUACCGCCCAAGAGUUCAUAUCGACGGCGGUGUUUGGCACCUCGAUGUCGGCUCAUCACAUCCUGGGGCUGAAGUCGGUCCCAAGGGUAUGGCUGUUCGCCAUUUAAAGUGGUACGCGAGCUGGGUUUAGAACGUCGUGAGACAGUUCGGUCCCUAUCUGCCGUGGGCGUUGGAAGAUUGAAGGGGGCUGCUCCUAGUACGAGAGGACCGGAGUGGACGAACCUCUGGUGUUCGGGUUGUGUCGCCAGACGCAUUGCCCGGUAGCUAAGUUCGGAAUUGAUAAGCGCUGAAAGCAUCUAAGCGCGAAGCGAGCCCUGAGAUGAGUCUUCCCUGACAGUUUAACUGUCCUAAAGGGUUGUUCGAGACUAGAACGUUGAUAGGCAGGGUGUGUAAGCGUUGUGAGGCGUUGAGCUAACCUGUACUAAUUGCCCGUGAGGCUUAACCAU